UGUGGUGAUUGGACAGUUCUGUGUAUUUUUCCUUGUUUGGCGCUUGUGUUUUUUUUUCUUUCAGAGGCUGGGUGUGGCUUAUCGGCUGCUGGAGCUCUCUGCAAUCACUCACCUGAUCGUCAUCUGUAAUCACCGGCUGCAGCAUUUAUACCCUAGUUCAACUCUCCCAAACUGCCAGAUUAUUUCCGCCUACACCGUGUGCCUCCAACCAAUGAGCUCCAGCGCCUCACCACCCAGCCUCUCAUUCAAGCCUCACCAGCCUUCACCAGCCUCACUUCAAUAAAUAUCCAUUUACCCACCA